CUCGUGUCCGAGGAAGACGCUGAAGCAGCGGGCACCGUCGCGGCGUUUGCCCGGGGAUGAAGAGUUCCGGAGAACAUCCGCGCUGUGUGUCGAUGCAAUUUACGAGAGAUUAAGACCAGCAAGUAAGGCAACUGCAAUGAAGCAUAAAGAAAGACGAGCAUGCCAACCACUGAUAGUUCAUGAGAAGACAUUUCUGUCAUUAACAAAGUGGAUGGUGAGCAAAGGUGGUGGCCACGUUUUGGAGCAGCACCUGGGUUUUGCAGAUGGCUGUGUAUUCUUCGGCUGCAUGUCUUUUUCUCCAUUAUGUUUCUGUUGCCUGUAGAUUCUUUGUGAGGAUACAACAUAAUGCACUGCAAAACGUCCUAAGACAGGGGAAAUGGUGAAGAUGCACUGUUCCAGCAGUUUAAGACUGUAUUUUUAA